GUACACGCUGUGACUAGCAUAUCAAUAAGCGGAGGAAAAGAAACUAACAAGGAUUCCCCUAGUAACGGCGAGUGAAGCGGGAAGAGCUCAAAUUUGAAAUCUUAAAGGGUUUCCCUUUACGAAUUGUAGUUUAAAGAAGUGUUUUCUGUUGAGGUUUUGGUAAAAGUUCUUUGGAAUAGGACAUCAUAGAGGGUGAGAAUCCCGUAUUUGACCUUUACUUUCAACUUUGUGAUACACUUUCAAAGAGUCGGAUUGUUUGGGAAUGCAGUCCAAAAUGGGUGGUAAAUUUCAUCUAAAGCUAAAUAUUGGCGAGAGACCGAUAGCGAACAAGUACCGUGAGGGAAGAGAUGAAAAGAACUUUGAAAAGAGAGUUAAACAGUACGUGAAAUUGUCAAAAGGGAAGCGUUUGACACCAGUGUUGUUUUUCUGAAAAUCAAUUAAAGAACUGUUUAUGCUAAGUUGUUAUAGACUUUAUCAGCUAACUGUUUAGUUUUGAGCUUUUCUUUAAUGCACUUUUCAGUUAACAAGUCAACAUCAAUUUCUUUUGCUGUAAAAAAGCUUGAGGAAGGUGGCUUGAGAUUCGUCUUAAGUGUUUAUAGCCUCUUGCCUAUGCAGUCGGAGAGAUUGAGGUCUGCAGCGUAGAUCCUUCGGGGCUAAAUGCAUUUGUGCUAAGUUAUAGCAUUUUAUAGACAACUUGUUGACUAUGAUUUGUCUUGUAGCUUACUCGCUUAUGUUAUUUUACCUACGCUUAGGAUGUUGAAGAUGUAGCACAUCAU
rnacentral:rRNA from 1 species